rnacentral:rRNA from 1 species
UGCCAGCCUCCGCUGUACUCCUGAUUGGGUUAUCGUUGUUCGUAAUUACUGGGCGUAAAGCGCGCGUAGGCGGAUUGGAAAGUUAGAGGUGAAAUCCCAGGGCUCAACCCCGGAACUGCCUCUAAUACUGCUAGUCUUGAGUUCGAGAGAGGUGAGUGGAAUUCCGAGUGUAGAGGUGAAAUUCGUAGAUAUUCGGAGGAACACCAGUGGCGAAGGCAUCUAACCAGAACGGAUCUGACGGUGAGGAACGAAAGCCAGGGGAGCGAACCGGAUUAGAUA